CCCUAUAUGAAAUUAGACUUUUAUUUACAUGUCAAAGAGACAUGAUAUACCAUUUGUAAAUCGUGUCACAUUGUAUUACAUUGCAUUGGCUUAGAUACUUUAGAUAAAGAAAAUUUAACACUCAAAACAUAAUUAUUACUACUACAUACAUAUUUAAUUUAAUCAUGGCAGCAUAUGAACGAGCUGACUAGCUGCCUACCUUUGUACAUAUUAACCCAUAAAUACUAUAUUAUUUAUCUUAUAACUAAAGGGAAGAGGAUUAAUUCACCAUUUAUUUCAUUGACAUUCUUCAACAUACAUAACAAACACAG
rnacentral:lncRNA from 1 species